rnacentral:rRNA from 1 species
GACGAACGCUGGCGGUGUGCUUAACACAUGCAAGUCGAACGGCAAGGCCCUGCUUUUGUGGGCUGCUCGAGGGGCGAACGCGUGAGUAACACGUGAGUAACCUGCUCUUCACUUUGGGAUAACUUCAGGAAACUGGGGCUAAUACCGUAUAGGAUCCCCUGCUGCAUGGUGGGCGUUGGAUAGUCGCGGCUGGUGGGGAUGGAUUCGCGGCUAACCGGCUUGUUGGUGGGGUAGUUGCUUCCCAAGGCUUUGACGGGUAGCCGGCCUGUGAGGGUGACCAGGCACAUUGGGACUGAGGGAGGGACCAGAGUGCAACGGGAGGCAGCAGUGGGGAGUAUGACACAGUGGGAGGAAGCCGGAGACGGCGGCGCUGCGUGCGGGAAGACGGCCUGCGGGGUGAAAACAGCUUUCGCCUGUGACGAAGCGUGAGUGACGGUAAUGAGUAAAGAAGCACCGGCUAACUACGUG